rnacentral:tRNA from 1 species
GGUUGUGGCUCAGUGGUAGAGCACUUAUCUCAAAUGUGUGAGGCCCUGGGUUCAAUCCUCAGCACCA